AUACGGAGGGUGCAAGCGUUACUCGGAAUCACUGGGCGUAAAGCGCAUGCAGGCGGUCUAAUAAGUUGGAAGUGAAAGCCUACGGCUCAACCGUAGAACUGCUUCCAAAACUGUUAGACUAGAGUCUGGGAGGGGAAGAUGGAAUUAGUAGCGUAGGGGUAAAAUCCGUAGAGAUAACUAGGAAUACCAAAAGCGAAGGCAAUCUUCUGGAACACUACUGACGCUGAGGCGCGAAAGCGUGGGGAGCAAACAGGAUUAGAAACCCUAGUAGUCC
rnacentral:rRNA from 1 species